UACGGAGGGGGCAAGCGUUGUUCGGAAUUACUGGGCGUAAAGGGCGCGCAGGCGGCUGCUCAAGUCAGGCGUGAAAGGCCUGGGCUCAACCCGGGAAUUGCGCUUGAGACUGGGCUGGCUUGAGUACGAGAGAGGUGAGUGGAAUUCCCAGUGUAGAGGUGAAAUUCGUAGAUAUUGGGAAGAACACCGGUGGCGAAGGCGGCUCACUGGCUCGUAACUGACGCUCAGGCGCGACAGCGUGGGGAUCAAACAGG
rnacentral:rRNA from 1 species